UAAUAUUCUCAAAAGCAGGUUGUAAAAAUGUAUUAUAACUAUAAAGAGGAUUUCAAGCAAGCAAAUAUAACAAGAAAAAGAAAACAAGUAGUAAUCAUUGAUUUUGAACCUCCCGGUAUUGU